CAAAUUUCUUACUUCUCCGUCGGACCUCCGUGCAAGGCUUCGUGUCCUUGCUAUCGCGUUUGGUCGUCUUCGUCGGGAAGAGCAUUGUGUCAACCUGUCUUUGAGUGGAGCGCAGCUGAGAGGCAACGUGAGACCGAAGUGUUUCUAAAGAUCGCCUUCUAAAGCCACGUUUGACAAAUUGACUAAUACUGAGUACAGACUCCAGCGCGAUUGUCCCUGCGAGAGCAAACCACGCAUCAUUCACAUUCCCAAACAGGGUAGCUGGAGCACAGAUGUGUGAAUACGAGGGGCAGCCGCGCAAGACACGAAGCUUCCCUCCUCUGCUCCUGCCCAAUGAUAUGAGGCCGAAUAUGAAUUUCUCACUAUCUUUGUACAAUACAUCACAUUUAGUGUUCCUAUCGACCCGCUUACAUGCAGCAGUGUGCACUUCCCAGAUUGAUCACGCAUAACUGCUGCUAUGCAGUCGGUGAGACAUUCGUAACCCCCCAGCAAAAUAACAUUAGUAGGUAGUUUUGGGUGGAUUUUUCUCUUUCUCAUCUGCGUUGACAGGCUUCGUCUUUUUAUUUCUAGCGGAGGCCUUUAUUUUCUCUCUCUCUCUCUCUCUCUCUCUCUCUCUCUCUCUCUCUCUCUCUCUCUCUCUCUCUCUCGACUUUGAGAAACCCUUUCAAUCCUGCCUGGGAAAAAUAUUAAACAUUAAUGUGCUGAAACAGACAUAGAUCUUUGAACCAGUCAGUAGCAACGUCACACAAAUCGUAGCCUGCGCAUAACAGCGGUGUCUCCUGCUAAUAUAUAGGCUAAGAAACCAACUGAAGGGCUGUGGAGAAUAUAACGUGAACCCCACAUAAAAUGCUAGCAUGUGUAAUAUAUGCGUCAUUCAUCUCAGAAAAAUGAACAAAACUCUCACAGCUCGGGCAAUUAUUCCAUAUUAAUUUUACAAAAAUGCAGCAAAUAUUGUGGUGUAGAAAGCGUUCAGGUGUGCACAGGUGGGACUGUUCAUUUGUAAAAUGAAGACAUUUGAACUGGAAUAGAAAUAAAGCGACACCCUAAUAACCCGCAUCACCGCUGCGCCUCCUCAACGUAACACACAUUAAAUUCGCUGAGAGUGAGACAUAGUUGCCUAUUUUUUUAAUAGUAUAGUCACCAUCACACAACUUCAUCAAGCGACCCUUCUGCACAAGCAUAUCAUGGGUUGAGCAAAACGGAAGCAACAACCGAUAGAGAAAAAGAAAACAAACAAACAAACAAAACAAAACAAAACAAAAAAAAUCCAAACAAAAAUAUCAAGACGAAACAAACAAAAUGUAUUUGAAAAUGAUAUAUUAAAAGUGCUUUGAUUUUU